rnacentral:rRNA from 1 species
AGGACGGAGGCGUGCUAUACAUGCAAGUCGAACGAGUUUUGGUCGAUGAACGGUGCUUGCACUGAGAUUCGACUUAAAACGAGUGGCGGACGGGUGAGUAACACGUGGGUAACCUGCCCUUAAGUGGGGGAUAACAUUUGGAAACAGAUGCUAAUACCGCAUAAAUCCAAGAACCGCAUGGUUCUUGGCUGAAAGAUGGCGCAAGCUAUCGCUUUUGGAUGGACCCGCGGCGUAUUAGCUAGUUGGUGAGGUAACGGCUCACCAAGGCGAUGAUACGUAGCCGAACUGAGAGGUUGAUCGGCCACAUUGGGACUGAGACACGGCCCAAACUCCUACGGGAGGCAGCAGUAGGGAAUCUUCCACAAUGGACGCAAGUCUGAUGGAGCAACGCCGCGUGAGUGAAGAAGGCUUUCGGGUCGUAAAACUCUGUUGUUGGAGAAGAAUGGUCGGCAGAGUAACUGUUGUCGGCGUGACGGUAUCCAACCAGAAAGCCACGGCUAACUACGUGCCAGCAGCCGCGGUAAUACGUAGGUGGCAAGCGUUAUCCGGAUUUAUUGGGCGUAAAGCGAGCGCAGGCGGUUUUUUAAGUCUGAUGUGAAAGCCCUCGGCUUAACCGAGGAAGCGCAUCGGAAACUGGGAAACUUGAGUGCAGAAGAGGACAGUGGAACUCCAUGUGUAGCGGUGAAAAUGCGUAGAUAUAUGGAAGAACACCAGUGGCGAAGGCGGCUGUCUGGUCUGUAACUGACGCUGAGGCUCGAAAGCAUGGGUAGCGAACAGGAUUAGAUACCCUGGUAGUCCAUGCCGUAAACGAUGAAUGCUAGGUGUUGGAGGGUUUCCGCCCUUCAGUGCCGCAGCUAACGCAUUAAGCAUUCCGCCUGGGGAGUACGACCGCAAGGUUGAAACUCAAAGGAAUUUGACGGGGGCCGCACAAGCGGUGGAGCAUGUGGUUUAAUUUCGAAGCAACGCGAAGAACCUUACCAGUCUUGACAUCUUUUUGAUCACUGAGAGAUCAGAUUCCCCUUUCGGGGGCAAAUGACAGUGGUGCAUGCUGGUCGUCAGCUCGUGUCGUGAGAUGAGGAUUAGUUCGGCACCGAGCGCACCCUAUGACUAGUGCCAGCAUGAUCUAGCACGUUAGUAGACCUGGCCGGUGACA